GCCAGGUGUGGUGGUGUACACCUGUAGUCCCAGUUGCUCGGGAGGCUGAGGCAGGAGGAUCGCUUGAGCCCAGGAGGUUGAGGCUGCAGUGAGCCCUGAUUGCACCACUGCAUUCCAGCCUGGGUGACAGAGCGAGACCCUGUCUUAA
rnacentral:SRP_RNA from 2 species